UACGUAGGGCGCAAGCGUUAUCCGGAAUUAUUGGGCGUAAAGAGCUCGUAGGCGGUUUGUCGCGUCUGCUGUGAAAACUCGGGGCUUAACCCCGGGCCUGCAGUGGGUACGGGCAGACUAGAGUGCGGUAGGGGAGACUGGAAUUCCUGGUGUAGCGGUGGAAUGCGCAGAUAUCAGGAGGAACACCGGUGGCGAAGGCGGGUCUCUGGGCAGUAACUGACGCUGAGGAGCGAAAGCGUGGGUAGCGAACAGG
rnacentral:rRNA from 1 species